ACUAAACGUUCCUGUAAAUCGCUCUGGAUAAGAGCGUCUACUAAAUAACUAAAA
rfam:Salmo salar isolate Sally breed double haploid chromosome ssa25, whole genome shotgun sequence.